rnacentral:lncRNA from 1 species
GGGCUCCGAAAGGAGAGCGUGGUGUCUGGAGGUGAUCGGAAGGGACUGGCUGGAGUGUGGCGGGCUGACAGGUCUGAGGCCUGAAGGACUUCCGGGAACCGCAAAGCACGGUGUGCCUCCGCUGUCCUGAAGAAAAAGCCGCGCGCGGACGACUGGCCGGCCCGCGCUUGCAGCUCCCAGAAGUUGACAGGCAUCCUCCGGUGACCGGUGUGAGUAUGGCAUCAGGAUGAUUUGACUGCAAGCAACAGAAAAAUCAAACAAAAAUGGCCUAAGCCAAGAAGAGAAAUGAUUAUUUCACAUUCCAAGAAGUUUGGGAGUCGAGUGGUUAAACGGCUAAUUAAUCUAGAGCUCAACAGUAUCACCCAGGACCCAUUUUCACUAUGGUGGCUAAAGCUCUGCACCCUUCAGGCUUGCACCAUGGCAGCAGCAGUGACAGUAAAGACACCCUUACACCACAAUGCUCCAUGACCAGGGAGAGGGUCUCCUCUCUCCUGCCCCUUUCUGGAGGCUCCACCGAAGAUUUCUCUUCACAUUCCGUUUCUCAUUCCUGAAGCAGUUGCUGGCAACAGGGAUGGACUUACCGCAAUGGGUACAGAGCAACUAAGAUUCACCACUAGCAGAUCUGCAUUGUAAGAAAAAUGAGAAGAAUUCCUUCAGGAAGAAGAAAAAUGAUACCAGAUGGAUAUGUGGAUCCACAUAAAGGAACGAAGAGCACAGGAAAUAGUAACUAUACUGGUUUCCUUCGUCAGUCCAGGCAGGACUGUGCGGUUGGAAAAGGGACGGAUGCUGGUCCUGGAAGGGGCGUCGUUAUCUAGAAGCUCCCAACCUAAGUGGGUGACUCAUAGGGAGGGCAAGGAGAGAAGGACACAGCAAGCAACUUACAUGUAAAACAAGACGUGUGGGUUAUUAUGGAAGAAAUUCACAACCAAACUUGGGGUUAGCCCGUAUUGUUUUCCAAGAACUCUAUGUGGACAGUGACAAAAAACAGACCUAAGAACUAGCAGACUGGGCAAAGCUUUUUCACAUAACAACAACAAAAAAAGCAAUUCCUCAGGAAAAAAUGGUCAAUGGGUCAUUGUGUGUAGACAAAACUACAAGUUCUGCUCCAGACUCUGGGGAAACCAUGCUGCCAUCUUCAAGCUGUGGCCAUUCUGUAAUACAGACUACGCUAAAUCACAUGUUGUCAUCAAGGCAGAAUAUUUUGUUCCUUUAUGGGUCAGCCUGGGAUACAAAAUUAGAGAAACUUUGCAAUGAAAAA